rnacentral:lncRNA from 1 species
UGGCGGCUUCUAUAAGUUUCCCUAUCAGCAGGGAAGGCAUGUUCCCACGACACAGUGCCAUCUUUUAUGAGUCCUUCCUCCAAUCUGGAGUCAUGUUUUUCUUGAUGUAGUCUUGAUAUAGAUGCUUCUUAUAGCCCUGGAACAUUGGUGCCAUCUUCUUCAUAGACCAAUCUCGGACUCUUUCCUUCAACUGUUCAUCGUUUGUCUCCAGUGUAAAAUGUUGCAAGACAUCACCCC